GAUGAACGCUGGCGGCGUGCCUAAUACAUGCAAGUCGAGCGAACGGACGAGAAGCUUGCUUUUCUGAUGUUAGCGGCGGACGGGUGAGUAACACGUGGAUAACCUACCUAUAAGACUGGGAUAACUUCGGGAAACCGGAGCUAAUACCGGAUAAUAUUUUGAACCGCAUGGUUCAAAAGUGAAAGACGGUCUUGCUGUCACUUAUAGAUGGAUCCGCGCUGCAUUAGCUAGUUGGUAAGGUAACGGCUUACCAAGGCAACGAUGCAUAGCCGACCUGAGAGGGUGAUGGGCCACACUGAAACUGAGACACGGUCCAGACUCCUACGGGAGGCAGCAGUAGGGAAUCUUCCGCAAUGGGCGAAAGCCUGACGGAGCAACGCCGAGUGAGUGAUGAAGGUCUUCGGAUCGUAAAACUCUGUUAUUAGGGAAGAACAUAUGUGUAAGUAACUGUGCACAUCUUGACGGUACCUAAUCAGAAAGCAACGGCUAACUACGUG
rnacentral:rRNA from 1 species